rnacentral:rRNA from 1 species
AACGAACGCUGGCGGCAGGCCUAACACAUGCAAGUCGAACGCUGUAGCAAUACAGAGUGGCAGACGGGUGAGUAACGCGUGGGAACAUUCCCAGUGGUACGGAAUAGCUCAGGGAAACUUGGGGUAAUACCGUAUACGCCCUUCGGGGGAAAGAUUUCUCGCCAUUGGAUUGGCCCGCGUUGGAUUAGCUAGUUGGUGAGGUAACGGCUCACCAAGGCGACGAUCCAUAGCUGGUUUGAGAGAAUGACCAGCCACACUGGGACUGAGACACGGCCCAGACUCCUACGGGAGGCAGCAGUGGGGAAUCUUGGACAAUGGGGGCAACCCUGAUCCAGCCAUGCCGCGUGAGUGACGAAGGCCUUCGGGUUGUAAAGCUCUUUUGACGGGGACGAUAAUGACGGUACCCGUAGAAUAAGUCCCGGCUAACUUCGUGCCAGCAGCCGCCGUAAUAC